rnacentral:rRNA from 1 species
CGUGCUUACACAUGCAAGUCGAACGAACCUUCGGGUUAGUGGCGGACGGGUGAGUAACGCGUGAGAAUCUGCCCUCAGGAGGGGGAUAACGGUUGGAAACGACCGCUAAUACCCCAUAUGCCUACUGGUGAAAUGAAUUUCGCCUGAGGAUGAGCUCGCGUCUGAUUAGCUUGUUGGUGAGGUAAUGGCUCACCAAGGCUUCGAUCAGUACCUGGUCUGAGAGGAUGAUCAGCCACACUGGGACUGACACACGGCCCAGACUCCUACGGGAGGCAGCAGUGGGGAAUUUUCCGCAAUGGGCGAAAGCCUGACGGAGCAACGCCGCGUGAGGGACGAAGGCCUCUGGGCUGUAAACCUCUUUUCUCAAGGAAGAAGAUAUGACGGUACUUGAGGAAUAAGCCACGGCUAAUUCCGUGCCAGCAGCCGCGGUAAUACGGGAGUGGCAAGCGUUAUCCGGAAUUAUUGGGCGUAAAGUGUCCGCACGCGGCUUUUCAAGUCUGCUGUUAAAACGUGG